GCAACCUAUUCAGGGACCCUGAAUCAACAGGGUAGGUAAGCUAGGUCAGUUAGGAGUAAUAUCAACGACUAAUGGUGGAUCACGUGGAGGUCGGAGUAUAUCAACGACUGAUGGUGGAUCACAUGGAGGUCGGAGUAUAUCAACGACUGAUGGUGGAUCACAUGGAGGUCGGAGUAUAUCAACGACUAAGGGUGGAUCAUAUGGAAGUCGGAGUUAUCAACGACUGAUGGUGGAUCACAUGGAGGUCGGAGUUAUCAACGAUAGUCGGAGUAGUUGCAGUACUUCUGAAUGACGGGAAUUGGCGUUGCAGAUAAACAAACGGAUUGUUGGAGUUGACAACGACGAUCGGAGGAGAAGUUCACCGGAGUCGGGGUUAUGAAGACAGUCCGCAGUUGAUGGUUGCGCCUUUUUCUAGAAUUAAGAAGUUCCGAUAUUUGAUGUUACGAGGAGUGUUAUGAUAGAACUAUAACAACUUAGUUAUUCACACAAGAAUUGUAUGAACUAUACAUUGCUGGACAUUUAGAUGUUGUUGAACUUUUGAAAUGAUUUUGUUUAUGAAUAUUGUUUUUUUUUUGUGGAAUUUGUAAGCAUUCAUAUUGUCACCGAUUUAAACUAAAAUAUAAAAUUAUAUUUCUUAAGAAAGGGAGGAAUGUGACAAUAUGAUGGGCUUAAAAUAUAUAUAUAUAUUUAUAUAUAUAUAUAUUUAUAUUUAUAUUUAUGAUUAUAUAUUCUCAAAAUGUUUAUUAAAUUGAAUAAAAUAAAUACAGGGGAAUAUCUAUUAAGAAAAUCAUGACCUUGGGAAAGGUUGUUUUAAUUGACCACUACGUUGCAUAUAACUUUAAAAACAUGUUUACAUGCAAACCAGAUGGUGACAUGUUGUAAUAACAAUUAGUUAAAAGACUGGACAUACGUGUAUUCUACAACUAUCAAUUUCCAGCUUGGUCAAAACAUGUCAAUUAGAGUCAACUUAAUAGAUAUUCAUCCAUGUACCUUUAGAAUUAAAACUAUUAUUGUCAAAUUAAUAGAAACUUUGACAAACUGUUAUAUUCUGUAUAUAUACCUAUGUAUUUACUGUAUGGGACACAUCGGCUCAUUUGGCGUAAAUAAAUAAACUGUUAACUAAC